rnacentral:rRNA from 1 species
AUUGAACGCUGGCGGCAGGCUUAACACAUGCAAGUCGAGCGGAGAUGAGGUGCUUGCACCUUAUCUUAGCGGCGGACGGGAGAGUAAUGCUUAGGAAUCUGCCUAUUAGUGGGGGACAACAUUCCGAAAGGAAUGCUAAUACCGCAUACGCCCUACGGGGGAAAGCAGGGGAUCUUCGGACCUUGCGCUAAUAGAUGAGCCUAAGUCGGAUUAGCUAGUUGGUGGGGUAAAGGCCUACCAAGGCGACGAUCUGUAGCGGGUCUGAGAGGAUGAUCCGCCACACUGGGACUGAGACACGGCCCAGACUCCUACGGGAGGCAGCAGUGGGGAAUAUUGGACAAUGGGCGGAAGCCUGAUCCAGCCAUGCCGCGUGUGUGAAGAAGGCCUUUUGGUUGUAAAGCACUUUAAGCGAGGAGGAGGCUACCUGGAUUAAUACUCUAGGAUAGUGGACGUUACUCGCAGAAUAAGCACCGGCUAACUCUGUGCCAGCAGCCGCGGUAAGAC